rnacentral:rRNA from 1 species
GCUUGCUUGUUGGGGUUGUAGGACACUCUAUACGGAGUUACAAAGGACGACAUUAGACGAAUCAUCUGGAAAGAUGAAUCAAAGAAGGUAAUAAUCCUGUAGUCGAAAAUGUUGUCUCUCUUGAGUGGAUCCUGAGUACGACGGAGCACGUGAAAUUCCGUCGGAAUCUGGGAGGACCAUCUCCUAAGGCUAAAUACUCUCUAGUGACCGAUAGUGAACCAGUACCGUGAGGGAAAGGUGAAAAGCACCCCGGAAGGGGAGUGAAAUAGAACCUGAAACCGUGUGCUUACAAGUAGUCAGAGCCCGUUAAUGGGUGAUGGCGUGCCUUUUGUAGAAUGAACCGGCGAGUUACGAUUUGAUGCAAGGUUAAGCAGUAAAUGUGGAGCCGUAGCGAAAGCGAGUCUGAAUAGGGCGUUUAGUAUUUGGUCGUAGACCCGAAACCAGGUGAUCUACCCUUGGUCAGGUUGAAGUUCAGGUAACACUGAAUGGAGGACCGAACCGACUUACGUUGAAAAGUGAGCGGAUGAACUGAGGGUAGCGGAGAAAUUCCAAUCGAACCUGGAGAUAGCUGGUUCUCUCCGAAAUAGCUUUAGGGCUAGCCUCAAGUGAUGAUUAUUGGAGGUAGAGCACUGUUUGGACGAGGGGCCCCUCUCGGGUUACCGAAUUCAGACAAACUCCGAAUGCCAAUUAAUUUAACUUGGGAGUCAGAACAUGGGUGAUAAGGUCCGUGUUCGAAAGGGAAACAGCCCAGACCACCAGCUAAGGUCCCAAAAUAUAUGUUAAGUGGAAAAGGAUGUGGCGUUGCCCAGACAACUAGGAUGUUGGCUUAGAAGCAGCCAUCAUUUAAAGAGUGCGUAAUAGCUCACUAGUCGAGUGACACUGCGCCGAAAAUGUACCGGGGCUAAACAUAUUACCGAAGCUGUGGAUUGUCCUUUGGACAAUGGUAGGAGAGCGUUCUAAGGGCGUUGAAGCAUGAUCGUAAGGACAUGUGGAGCGCUUAGAAGUGAGAAUGCCGGUGUGAGUAGCGAAAGACGGGUGAGAAUCCCGUCCACCGAUUGACUAAGGUUUCCAGAGGAAGGCUCGUCCGCUCUGGGUUAGUCGGGUCCUAAGCUGAGGCCGACAGGCGUAGGCGAUGGAUAACAGGUUGAUAUUCCUGUACCACCUAUA